rnacentral:lncRNA from 1 species
GUGUUUUUACAAUUCCAAAGCUAGCAAGCAGUAGGAGUUUCACCCAACAAAGGGGCUAAUUACAUAGAGCAGCCGCAGUAAUACCACAGUCAGAUCGAUAGCUAGCAGCAAUAGUAGUGAUUACCAACACACAUACACAUGAACUGAUGACAAACUUGCACACGACCUGACAAACAGGAAAAUACAUUAAUAGACAAAAAGAAUGCAAUACACAUGAAUUGAUAAUCCCCAUGGCUAAUGGCAGAGCUUUUUCGCAUCUAGGUUCACCCGUUUACUGAAAGUAGAACUUCUCAGUUUGGGAUGAUGUUUAAAUGUUCACCAUUUUGGCCUACAUCAGAAUACUGAGAACAAAACAAUAUUUGCUUAUUAAAGCAUAACACACAACACCUCUUGUGCUAUAGGAGAACACAUAAACAAAGGGGAAAUUGGACAUAGAAUCGCCAAGUAGGUGAACUGAAAAGCACACAUAACAUGUACUGAAAAAGAACACAACAUCCUUAGUGUUGCGUCGACCACAUGUGGCAAAGGUGAACGGCUUGCGGUGGUAGAGGUGAACAUCCUGAUCCCAGCAUCGUCGCAUGACCUUGUGUGGUGGAAGUGAAUGGCUUGUGGUGGCAAGGGUGAACGGCUUGAGUGUUGCGUCAUCGAACGACCUUGUAUGGAAGCAGCGAACGGCCUGGGCCUUGAAGGUUCAAGCAGUGGUGUUGAGAGGCUGUGUGGGACUGUAUUUGUAGUGUCUGAAUAAGUUCAGUAGCUGCUCACCAUGCACACCUACUCAACUGCUUCAUGCCACCGUCCCUGCACACACACAACAGCCACCAAUUAGCAUGCACAAGUUCAUGUAAAAAGAACAACAAUUUCAUGUACAGUAAUAUUACAUGUUCACAACGAAACCUAAAAAUAUGUGUACUUUGAAAUACUUCAUUUUACUUCCCAAAUACUUCAUUUGUUUUUGAAAUAUGAACUUUUAUAUUUAUUUCCGUAGAACUUAUUAUGUUUUCCCUCCAAACUACAAGAACAUGAUUGGUUUGCUUACCCAAAAAAUAUUUUAUUCAAAUACUUUUCUGUUCUUAUAAGCGAACUGAUGGAAAUCUUGACGGUGCACUUCGGUAUUUUAUUCCAGGUGCACUGAUGUAAUUACAAAGUUAACUCAGUGUGUUCCUUUUUGCAUAGUGAACCUAUGUAGACUCUAUACAAUGUAAAAUGGACAUUGUUGUGAUUACCUACAUGGCUGAACUAGUUAAUAUAUUUGCUUUUUCGUUGUGUAUUUCUGUUUAAUUAGACAAAUGGUUUGAUUAGUGGUAUUACCACCACAAUUUUCACUAUAUAUACAUUAUUGAUCUGAACGCGACAAUAAGAAUAGGCUGCCGAUUUUUUCUGUAAAGUCGCAUGCCGAAAAUGUAGAGAUUAGGGAAGUACCAGGACACAAACUAAUUUAUUUAGGAAGUAAUUAGAAUAAAGAGAUUUUUAGGAGUACUUAGGGAGUGAAUGCAAGCUUAUUUAGAACAUGCUAUCAAGAAUUCAGCGAGGGGAAUGGAUGUUCUUCAAGAGAAUUCAGGGAAGAGAGCGAGGAGAAACCUUGGCGGCAGCAAUCUGAAGUUGCGGCGACAAAUAUGACAAUGGCCUUGACCUCAUCGGAGCAUAGGGACUAGGCCAACGAACUCAUGGCAUUGUAUGUAGAAAAAGACAUAUUGUGAGUUGCUAUCUAUUGCUAAUGGUACGAUGCUGCUAUUGCUCUGUGUCAUGUUAUGCAAGUUGACACCGAGUACACGUUGGAUGAUAUACUUAGACAGUAAAGAGCUAAAAAUGAUUUCUUCUAGUUUAGGUAAACGGAGAUGCCAACUUUCUCCAUUUAGUUACUUCUAGCUCCCAGCAAAAUUCGUAAAAUGGAAGGCAGAUAGGUCUAGCUACUCUAUUAUGAAGCUCACCUUCAUACUCGAGACCAAUGAACUAAUGACGAAGGGGCUCCCUGGGGGCGCUACCUAUCUCCAACCAAAGAAAGGCCGAUGACAAUGGCGCAUGAACCAGUACGACUGCCAUGGGGCAGAAACCAUGACGACGACGGCCUGAUCAUUGAAAAAAUCCAGGGCGGAGAACGGGUGGCCCGCACACAGCUCUUCUCGUGAACGGCAGCGGAGGGUGCAGUUGUACUGUCGAGAUGAAGAUAUCCUUGCCCUCCCGCCGCUGAGCACAACUUACUGAAAAGGUCCCAUUGGCAUGUCGAAGUUUCUUAUUACUUGAUAUUCUGAAAAAGAUCAAUGCCAAGAUUAACAUCAUAACUUGAUUUUUUCUAAUGGAUACAUACUGAUGAACUACUACAGGUCUUGUUUGUUGAACUGACCUUACUAUUUAGGAUUUUUUUUCUUUUUACAAAUUUAAAUGAAGAAUACCCCAAAUUUGGUGCGUUUUAAAAAAAUAUGAACUUCACGGAAAAGAAUGCCUGAACAUUUGAGAUGGUAGUGUGUGAACUUCUCGAUGAAACAUUUUAUUUUAAAUGAUUGUGGGAUCAAAAAUAGAAAAGAGUGGGAAAUAGGAUGUGCACUUUCCUGUACAGAAAGUUUGAACUCCCUGUCAAAUAAUUGGUUUCAGUUUCAGUAGCAGAAAAAAUUUAUUUGAACUUCUAUAUUGAACACUUUUUAGAGGUGUGCCCGUGAGCUUCCCAACUUUUCUAUUUUUUGAAUGAAUCAAUGAGGCAAACAAACCUCUGCCCGACGCAUCGUUGAACGGCCUCGGUUGGCGGUGGUGAACAGACUGGGGUGGCGGCUGUGAAUGGCCUGGGCGCUGUGGUUCCUCCAAAUUGCAAUAUGUUGAAACCAUUUUUUCUAACUUAUCUCGGUGCCAUAUAUGACCUUCGAUCUUUUGUUUUAUUGAACUGAACAAAAACAAGAAUUUGAGCUUAAUUGAAGUUAACUAAAAUUUAGAAAGUGAAGUUUCUUUUAAUUACUGGCAUCCACCAAGCAAUGUGCAAAGCAGAACAAGAUGCUGUUAUCGCUCUGUGUGUGCCCUGACCUGGACUGUUGUGCAGCUCUUGGUGAAGACGGUGGCCAACAUUCUACUUGGACUGCGGUCAGCGCUCGACUCAGAUGACUGUCGGCAAUUGUGGUGGAUGAGCUCAUGGCCGAGGGCGACCAGCAGGGGCUC